ACCUAUACAAUCAUGCCAAAGACCACUAAUACUGCUACGACAAACGCACAAACAAAAACGAAAACGAAAUGACGAACACGAAAUAAUCAAAUCACAAAUAAAAAAAAAAAAGAGCACAUAAAUUUAUGUGAAAAAUUCUUUACAGAAAAAUAUUACGGGCGAGGGAAGAGGGAACUUCACUAUCAAAAAAAGAAAUACAAUGUUCGAGUACAACCAACCACCAUCAGUCACCUCUAGGGCAAAAAACGAGAAAGGAAACUCUUAAAGGAUUUCGGAUCCGAUCCAAUCCAAUCCGUACAGCGGAGCCCCCCGCACCCCGCACUCGGGCCUGUCAGCCCGAGCCUUCUGCUACCCACCACAGACAUUUUUUUUUUCAUUAUUUUAUUUUCAAAUUAGUCGCACCGCGAAACUGUUGGUGAGUCGAAAUUCCAAACUAAAGUCAAUUAUCAAUUUUGAGUCACAUCUAACAAAUACUGUAGUUAGAUGCCAUUACAAAUGCAU
rnacentral:lncRNA from 1 species